CGCUCUCCCCAGUACGAGAGGACCGGGAGGGACGCACCUCUGGUGUACCGGUUGUGGCGCCAGCCGCACCGCCGGGUAGCUAAGUGCGGACGGGAUAACCGCUGAACGCAUCUAAGCGGGAAACCCUCCUCAAAACCAGGUCUCGCCAAGAGCCGUGGAAGACCACCACGUCGAUAGGCCGGAGGUGGAAAGGGCGCAAGCCCCGCAGCUGACCGGUACUAAUCGCUCGACAAGCGCUUGAUU
rnacentral:rRNA from 1 species